CUUGCACUGGUCAAUCUAGUGGCGAACGGGUGAGUAACACGUGGGUAACCUGCCCAUCAGAGGGGGAUAACAUCCGGAAACGGAUGCUAAAACCGCAUAGGUCUUCGAGCCGCAUGGCUUGAAGAGGAAAAGAGGCGCAAGCUUCUGCUGAUGGAUGGACCCGCGGUGCAUUAGCUAGUUGGUGAGGUAACGGCUCACCAAGGCCGUGAUGCAUAGCCGACCUGAGAGGGUGAUCGGCCACAUUGGGACUGAGACACGGCCCAAACUCCUACGGGAGGCAGCAGUAGGGAAUCUUCCGCAAUGGACGCAAGUCUGACGGAGCAACGCCGCGUGAGUGAAGAAGGUUUUCGGAUCGUAAAACUCUGUUGUUAGAGAAGAACAAGUGCUAGAGUAACUGUUAGCGCCUUGACGGUAUCUAACCAGAAAGCCACGGCUAACUACGUGCCAGCAGCCGCGGUAAUACGUAGGUGGCAAGCGUUGUCCGGAUUUAUUGGGCGUAAAGCGAGCGCAGGCGGUUCCUUAAGUCUGAUGUGAAAGCCCCCGGCUCAACCGGGGAGGGUCAUUGGAAACUGGGGAACUUGAGUGCAGAAGAGGAGAGUGGAAUUCCAUGUGUAGCGGUGAAAUGCGUAGAUAUAUGGAGGAGCACCAGUGGCGAAGGCGACUCUCUGGUCUGUAACUGACGCUGAGGC
rnacentral:rRNA from 1 species